rnacentral:rRNA from 1 species
GCGAUGCCGCGUGAGUGAAGAAGGCCUUUGGGUUGUAAAGCUCUUUCGUCGGGGAAGAAAAUGACUGUACCCGAAUAAGAAGGUCCGGCUAACUUCGUGCCAGCAGCCGCGGUAAUACGAAGGGACCUAGCGUAGUUCGGAAUUACUGGGCUUAAAGAGCUCGUAGGUGGUUAGAAAAGUUGGUGGUGAAAUCCCAAAGCUUAACCUUGGAACUGCCACCAAAACUUUUUAACUAGAGUAUGAUAGAGGAAAGUGGAAUUUCUAGUGUAGAGGUGAAAUUCGUAGAUAUUAGAAAGAACACCAAUUGCGAAGGCAGCUUUCUGGAUCAUUACUGACACUGAGGAGCGAAAGCAUGGGUAGCGAAAAGGAUUAGAUACCCUCGUAGUCCAUGCCGUAAACGAUGUGUGCUAGACGUUGGAAAUUUAUUUUUC